rnacentral:RNase_P_RNA from 23 species
AGGGCGCCGAGGGGACGGGAGGAGCCCGGAGACGGGUCCCCUCUGGAACCUCCCGCACCGCCCGCGGAGGCCCCCGGCAGGCCGCCGAAAGGCGGGGGUAAAAACCAGCCGGGGGUGCGGCCCCCAAGCAGGGCCUAUGAGGCCGCGGCGAGGCCCGGGUAGGGGGUUAGAGAAAUACCCCAACAGAAGCGGGGGUAUGCGGCGCCCC